rnacentral:sRNA from 1 species
GUGCAUUGUGGGAAGCACUUUGUUGUCCACAGCCAAGCCGCUUGUGAUGAAACUGUAACUUACAAGAAAAGGGCUGGGUUUUGAAAAUAACACAGGCUCUAAAAACCCUGGAAGCGGUGCAACUUUUGGCAGGAAUCGGGGUUAGCGGGACCUCAACGGCUCACUGCGGCUAAGUGAACGCUGACUGGUCCUCCAGCGUGAGCUAGAACAGACGUCUCUAUGGUCAAGUAAAUAGAGCGUGUGCUGUCUUCCCCGUGUGGUGGGGUUGCGCAUGAUCAGUAGCUGCACCACUAGAAAGAUGGCGGAGCAAGAGCAAAGAAAAAUCCCUUUGGUUCCAGAAAAUCUCCUGAAAAAGAGGAAGGCUUAUCAAGCCCUCAAAGCCACCCAGGCAAAGCAGGCACUUUUGGCAAAGAAGGAGGUAAUGGUGGGGAACCAAGAGAAAGUAAUUAGAAUUUGUAUUUGGUGAGUUUUAUCCAGCAUGUGUUGGGCUACAUUUGGUAUUGACGAGCUCCCCCCAACGGUUUGACAAACCAGCAGAGGAAAGGAAAAGGGCUCAGGUUUAAGCGACUGGAAUCAUUCCUACAUGAUUCCUGGCGGCAGAAACGUGACAUGGUGCGUCUCAGACGACUAGAAAUGAAACCUCAUGCCUUGGAAUUGCCAGAUAAACAUUCCUUGGCCUUUGUUGUACGCAUCGAAAGGAUUGAUGGCGUGAGUUUACUGGUGCAGAGAACCAUUGCAAGACUUCGCCUAAAGAAAAUUUUUAGUGGUGUCUUUGUAAAAGUCACCCCCCAGAAUCUAAAAAUGCUGCGUAUAGUGGAACCUUAUGUGACCUGGGGAUUUCCAAAUCUGAAGUCUGUCCGAGAACUCAUUUUGAAACGUGGACAAGCCAAGGUGAAGAAUAAGACCAUCCCUCUGACAGACAACACAGUGAUUGAGGAGCACCUGGGGAAGUUUGGCGUCAUUUGCUUGGAAGACCUCAUUCAUGAAAUUGCCUUUCCAGGGAAGCAUUUCCAGGAGAUCUCAUGGUUCUUGCGCCCUUUCCACCUCUCAGUGGCCCGUCAUGCUACCAAAAAUAGAGUGGGCUUCCUCAAGGAGAUGGGCACACCUGGCUAUCGGGGUGAACGCAUCAAUCAGCUCAUCCGCCAGCUGAACUAGACCCAGGUGAGGCAGGGUUGAAAACUGCCCUUGGGCUGACUUUUGAUAGGCCAUGCCUUGCCACUUUACAAGUUCUUUUUGCAUUUACUAGUAUUUAAGAGUAACCUUGGGAUUGGGAGGAAAGAGGAGGCUGGUACAAAUAGAUGGAGACCUGCUGGGAUCAGUGAAUGCCUGGUUAGGACAUGGGGCUAUGCAUAGCCUAAGAGUUAUAGGCUUAAAGAUGUCGAGUAACUAAAAACUGUAUUGCUAGCCGGGCGCGGUGGCUCACGCCUGUAAUCCCAGCACUUUGGGAGGCCAAGGCGGGCAGACAAUGAGGUCAGGAGAUUGAGACCAUCCUGGCCAACAUGGUGAAACCCUGUCUCUACUAAAAAUACAAAAAUGAGCUGGGUGUGGUGGCGCGUGCCUGUAGUCCCAGCUACUUGAGAGGCUAAGGCAGGAAAAUCGCUUGAACCCAGGAGGCAGAGAUUGCAAUGAGCCAAGAUCGCGCCAGUGCACUCCAGCUGGGCGACAGAGCGAGACCGUCUCAAAAAAAAAAAAAAAAAAAAAAAAAAAAAAAAAAAAAAAA